AGUCAGAAUUUGUCCCUGGUGGGAAGACUUGAAGGAGAAGUUGAGUGUUUUAACUCAAAAGCUUUGUCAUGUUGAUGACAUGAGAAGACCCUGCAAGGCAGCCUUUUUGACUUGAAGGUAGCAUUUGUCAUACCCUGGGGAGCCUGUGUGGCAGUGGCGUCUGAGGAUACCACCAUGUGGUGCUUUGUCAACACCUCUUUUCAAACUGCGUCGGGGAGUGAUAUGCAAUACUGUGUGGAAUGAUCUGCAUUGUGACACAAGAACUGAUAGAGCCUCUUGGAUCAACCUCAUUUUCAUCACAAAGUUUUGAAAGAGUGUUGCCAUGGCAGUGUACCUUCUCUUUCAACACCACAUUCAAUUCGCUCAUUUAAACCCUCCUGUCAUGCCAUGCAAAGGAAGCUAAAGCCAUGCGGGACAGCUACAACAAGAGAUAUCCAGACCUUCAUCUUCAGUCCAGCCAUGAGGAGGCUUGUCCAAAUUUUAUUCAUGGCAGCAGCAAUAGGAAUCUAAUCUUGAUAAGCAAAGAAUGUAAUUAAAAUGGAUUACAGACUAUUAAAUACCAACAAGAACAAAAUGAUUGCAGUGUGUGCAAGCCAGUAAUUAAAGCUUUAAAAGAGGAAAAAGUCACCAUCGCUUCAAAUGUUUAUUUGUCAAGUUUUCCAUCCUGUCCAGCCAAGCACCUGUUUAAGCAGAGGUGAGACCCAGCAUCACAGGCAGAGCCCUGAGCAGGAAGCCAGGCAGAAGCCCUGGCUUCAUCUUCACUCCUGCCUGCUAUGGGGCCUGGACAAUGCAUCCAACCUGCAUAGGACAUCUCAGGCCUCAGGACAACAGGAUUUAAUGAGGACUGAACCGAGUGCUACUUCAAAUUUAGCACCUUCUCCAAAGAGCCAUUCUGCUAGGACGCACCCAUCCCCUAAGCAAGCAGGGGAGCCAGUAUUGUGA
rnacentral:lncRNA from 1 species